rnacentral:rRNA from 1 species
GUCCUAGCUAUAAACGAUGUUCACUAGGUGUGGGUGGUAUCGACCCCUUCCGCGCCGAAGCUAACGCAUUAAGUGAACCGCCUGGGGAGUACGGCCGCAAGGUUGAAACUCAAAGGAAUUGACGGGGGCCCGCACAAGCGGUGGAGUAUGUGGUUUAAUUCGACGCAACGCGAAAAACCUUACCUGGGCUUGAAGAGCUAGUGGUAAAACCUGGAAACAGGAAUGACCCGCAAGGGAGCUAGUAGAGGUGCUGCAUGGUUGUCGU